CAACCAAAAAAACCGAAAAAAAUAUAUUUUGCUGUUUUUAGUUCGGUUCGAUUUGGUUUUCGGUUUUGAUAAUAAAAACUCCAACCGAACCGAACCGAACCGGUCAGGUAAAAAACCAAAAAAAACCAAACCCCCCUCCCCCAAAAUGAACGAAACCUAAACCUAACCCAGUAACCCCAUUCGGCAAUUCCCCCAAGCCCCACUCCCAAACGAACCCUAGCCCCUCUCUCCCUACUCCCUAGGUCUCACAGCCUCGCUCUCUGCAACUCCCAUCGCUGGUGAGAGACCUCCUCCCACCACCUCGCAGCCACCGCCACCUUCCUCCCAGCGCAGCCCUUCCACUGCUCCCACCCAGGACCUCCUCGCGGACAGAGCAGCCCAGCACUGCAGCACACAGCCAGCGCCCAGCGCCCAGCAAGUCGGCACCACCCUUGCAAGUCGCACCCACCACCACCCUCAAUAGGAGCUGCAG